AUUGAACGCUGGCGGCAUGCUUUACACAUGCAAGUCGAACGGCAGCGGGGGCUUCGGCCCGCCGGCGAGUGGCGAACGGGUGAGUAAUGCAUCGGAACGUGCCCAGUCGUGGGGGAUAACACAUCGAAAGAUGUGCUAAUACCGCAUACGUCCUGAGGGAGAAAGCGGGGGAUCUUCGGACCUCGCGCGAUUGGAGCGGCCGAUGUCGGAUUAGCUAGUUGGUGGGGUAAAAGCCCACCAAGGCGACGAUCCGUAGCGGGUCUGAGAGGAUGAUCCGCCACACUGGGACUGAGACACGGCCCAGACUCCUACGGGAGGCAGCAGUGGGGAAUAUUGCACAAUGGGCGAAAGCCUGAUGCAGCAACGCCGCGUGAGUGAUGAAGG
rnacentral:rRNA from 1 species